rnacentral:rRNA from 1 species
UACGGAGGGUGCAAGCGUUGUUCGGAAUCAUUGGGCGUAAAGCGCGUGUAGGCGGCUUGGCAAGUCAGUUGUGAAAGCCCGGGGCCCAACCCCGGAAUUGCAUCUGAAACUGCCUAGCUAGAGUCCCGGAGAGGAAGGCAGAAUUCCCGGUGUAGGGGUGAAAUCCGUAGAUAUCGGGAGGAAUACCAGCGGCGAAGGCGGCCUCCUGGACGGUGACUGACGCUGAGACGCGAAAGCGUGGGGAGCAAACAGG